UACAUUUUGAAGUGACCCUUCGAAUUAAAAAGGUUCCUCAGCUGCUUUUGAGGAAAAACAUCAAUGUGCUUGGCCACUCUGGUUUUUAAAUGGUAUUCUGAACUAAAGCAAGGAUUGUUCAAGUUAGUUGAAAAUAGACCGUCUCUGGUUAAAUUAGUUCUACACCAAGCCUUUAGGUGGCAGUAAAACGAAUUGGCACAAUGCGAAUUCCACACACAAGCCACAAAGAAGCCAUCAGCCGCGGUCAACAGCACCUUCCUGAUUGAACAGAACCACGCGUUGUCUGUGUGGUUUACAAGUUUCUUGGCGAUAUGGGGGGAAAGUUCCUCACAUACCAACGGAAAAUGGGCUUCAUAUACAUGCUGCUGUCUCAUAAUAUGGCGAAGACGAGUCACCUGAAGGCCUAACUCGCCAUAGAAGACUGAAAGAAUUGUCCUGCAGGAUGCUGUGUCCUGCAAUCCUGUGUGCUUUGCUACAGACGCGUGUGGAGGUCAACCCAAAAUGGGCACAGUCUCACCACAGAAGAGUGAAAGAGGAUCCUGGCAGGGAGACGGUAGUGUCCUGCAGAAUGGUGAUGGGCCAAUCUUACAAGAGACCACAGAAAACUGAUAUAGUGAACUAUAGAAACAACAGUGCCUGCUGCAGUAUAACGAGGACACCCUGAGCAGAGAGCUCCAAUAGACCCAGGUCCAGUGUCUUGGCAGGGUGAAA